rnacentral:tRNA from 2 species
GCUCUUGUCGUCUAAUGGUUAGGACACACGACUUUCUAUCGUGGAAUUACGGUUCGAAUCCGUACUUGAGUA